GGGGGGGGGGGGGGGGGGGGGGGACAGAGGGAAGUCGGGCGGCAGCAGAGGGAGAGCGUGCGCUUGCGGGUGGCGAGUGGCGGGCGGGUGAGGAAUACAUCGGAAUCUACUUUUUCGUGGGGGGUAACGUAGGGAAACUUACGCUAAUACCGCAUACGACCUACGGGUGAAAGCAGGGGAUCUUCGGACCUUGCGCGAUUGAAUGAGCCGAUGUCGGAUUAGCUAGUUGGCGGGGUAAAGGCCCACCAAGGCGACGAUCCGUAGCUGGUCUGAGAGGAUGAUCAGCCACACUGGAACUGAGACACGGUCCAGACUCCUACGGGAGGCAGCAGUGGGGAAUAUUGGACAAUGGGCGCAAGCCCGAUCCAGCCAUACCGCGUGGGUGAAGAAGGCCUUCGGGUUGUAAAGCCCUUUUGUUGGGAAAGAAAAGCAGCAGGUUAAUACCCCGCUGUUCUGACGGUACCCAAAGAAUAAGCACCGGCUAACUUCGU
rnacentral:rRNA from 1 species